AGCUCUAAUAGCGUAUAUUAAAGUUGUUGCGGUUAAAAAGCUCGUAGUUGAAUCUUGGCGCGGUUGGGGUCGGUCCGCCCACUGGGUGUGCACUGGCUCGGCCGUGCUCUCCUGUCAGAUACGCGCCGGUGCACUUAACUGUGUGCCGGUCAGGCUUCGGCCGGCGUUCUGGCUCUUUUACUUUGAGUAAAUUAGAGUGUUCAAAGCAGGCAAAACAUCAGCCACUGAAUACAUUAGCAUGGGAUAAUGGAAUAGGACUUUGGUUCUAUUUUGUUGGUUUCUAGAGCCGAAGUAAUGAUUAAUAGGGACAGUUGGGGGCAUUAGUAUUUAAUUGUCAGAGGUGAAAUUCUUGGAUUUAUUAAAGACUAACUACUGCGAAAGCAUUUGCCAAGGAUGUUUUCA
rnacentral:rRNA from 1 species